rnacentral:rRNA from 1 species
GCAGCAGCCACGGUAAUGCGUAGGUGGCAAGCGUUGUCCGGAAUUAUUGGGCGUAAAGCGAGCGCAGGCGGUUCCUUAAGUCUGAUGUGAAAGCCCCCGGCUCAACCGGGGAGGGUCAUUGGAAACUGGGGAACUUGAGUGCAGAAGAGGAGAGUGGAAUUCCAUGUGUAGCGGUGAAAUGCGUAGAUAUAUGGAGGAACACCAGUGGCGAAGGCGACUCUCUGGUCUGUAACUGACGCUGAGGAGCGAAAGCGUGGGGAGCGAACAGGAUUAGAUACCCCCGUAGUCCCUGUCUCUUAUAC